GAAUAUUAGUCAAUGCUCGAAAGAGUGAACUAGCUAACUGAAAUCAAUUAUAAUAAUUGAUAACAUAAGGGAAAAUAAUGAUAUUACCUUAUUAUUAGUGUCGUCCAAAUCUGGUGCCAGAAGACUCGGUAAGGCCAGAGACACAAACGUUAAUCGUCUUAAUCAGGCGUAAAGGGUUUGUAGGCGGCUUUUAAAUUUAUUUAUAAACCUUAAUAAAGAUAAAUAAGUUAAUAAUAAAAGCUAGAAUCAAAUAGAGGAUAUUUAAAUAACGCUUAGAGUAGGUCUGAUAUCCUUAAAUACUAAGUAGAAUAUUAAAGGCGAAGGCUUUUAUCCAUUAAUGAUUGACGCUCAGAAACGAAGGUGAGGAUAGGAAAUAGGAUUAGAUACCCAAAAUACCCCUCUCUGUCAACGAUGAAUGGUAGUUAUUAGUAAAAAUAAAAAUUAAAAAUAAAAAUUAUUAAUGACAAUGUUAACACGAUAACCAUUCCGCCUUGUGAGUACGACUGCAAAGUUGAAAACAAAAAAAUUAGUCGGUUUCGGAGCAAACGAAGUGAAGCAUGUUAUUUAAUUC
rnacentral:rRNA from 1 species